UACGUAGGUGACAAGCGUUAUCCGGAAUUACUGGGCGUAAAGCGCACGCAGGCGGCGCAUUAAGUCUGACGUGAAAUCUCCUGGCUUAACUGGGAGGGGUCGUUGGAGACUGGUGUGCUUGAGGCGAUGAGAGGGGUGUAGAAUUCCCGGUGUAGUGGUGGAAUGCGUAGAUAUCGGGAGGAAUACCAGUGGCGAAAGCGACACCCUGGCAUUAGCCUGACGCUCAGGUGCGAAGGCGUGGGGAGCGAAC
rnacentral:rRNA from 2 species